ACGAACGCUGGCGGCGUGCUUAACACAUGCAAGUCGAACGGAAAGGCCCUGCUUUUGUGGGGUGCUCGAGUGGCGAACGGGUGAGUAACACGUGAGUAACCUGCCCUUGACUUUGGGAUAACUUCAGGAAACUGGGGCUAAUACCGGAUAGGAGCUCCUGCUGCAUGGUGGGGGUUGGAAAGUUUCGGCGGUUGGGGAUGGACUCGCGGCUUAUCAGCUUGUUGGUGGGGUAGUGGCUUACCAAGGCUUUGACGGGUAGCCGGCCUGAGAGGGUGACCGGCCACAUUGGGACUGAGAUACGGCCCAGACUCCUACGGGAGGCAGCAGUGGGGAAUAUUGCACAAUGGGCGGAAGCCUGAUGCAGCAACGCCGCGUGCGGGAUGACGGCCUUCGGGUUGUAAACCGCUUUCGCCUGUGACGAAGCGUGAGUGACGGUAAUGGGUAAAGAAGCACCGGCUACCUACGG
rnacentral:rRNA from 1 species